GAUGAACGCUUGCGGCGUGCUUAACACAUGCAAGUCGAACGAUGAAGCUCAUCUUGCUGGGUGGUUUAUUGUCGAACGGGUGAUUAACACGUGAUUAACCUGCCCUUAACUCUGUGAUAAACCUUGGAAACUAGGUUUAAUACAGGAUAGGAGCGCCUACCGCUUGGUGGGUGUUGGUGCGAUUUAUCGGUUUUGGAUGUACUCGCGGCCUAUCACCUUGUUGGUGAGGUAAUGGCUCACCAAGGCGACGACGGGUAGCCGGCCUGAGAGGGUGACCGGCAACACUGGGACUGAGAAACGGCCCAGACUCCUACGGGAGGCAGCAGUGGGGAAUAUUGCACAAUGGGCGAAAGCAUGAUGCAGCGACGCAGCGUGAGGGAUGAAGGCCUUCGGGGUGUAAACCUCUUGCAGUAGGGAAGAAGCGAAAGUGACGGUACCUGCAGAAGAAGCACGGGCUAACUACGUG
rnacentral:rRNA from 1 species